GACUCAGAAUUGCCAUCAAGCACUCUAGGCAAGUGUUCUGCGUUCUUCGGCGUUUCAGAUAGCUGAAUUUAAUCAACUGCAGUUAUUUGAAACCUCGAGCUGUUGCUGAGAAGGUAGGAAGGCAAGAAAAUGGGUGUCCGACGAUUGGGGCCGUUACCACGGGCGUUUGACCGACUGUAACUCAUACAGAUCUUGGCUGACAUGCAGGGUAACAACACAAUUUGUAGACGCUACUGUCCGGUGAACGAUGCGUUUGUCCGAUGAACGGGGUAUGCAAGGCUCCACACUGUUUUCAAUCUCACUCUAAGCAGAGAAGAGGGACUGCGUUCAAAAACGAAUAACUGAGAACUCGCGUUCAGAAUAUGAUGGUGUCCGAGGAACGGGGCCGCGCUCUAGAGAACGAUCGAGAAAGCGCUUUGUCGUUCAACAGCAAGCUAUCUCAAGAUGGUAAAUGGUAAAUGUAUGGAUAAAGAACCUAACACACUGGUUGGUAGCUUUUCCCGAAAUGUCAAUUACGAGGAGUGGAAACUGCCGCGGCGGACAAGAACGCGAUUCGCCUUUCUCUUUAUACUAGGAAUAAAGACUGUAUGUCAUAGAACGUGGUGCACCCUAAGAUGGUUCCUUGUUCUGCUUCGUUAUGACACAACUUGAAAUCGUGGCACGUUUUCAAGUUUGUGUGGGUGUGCCUACGCGUGCGCGGUGAAUCGUGAGCGGGCACCUUUAAUUAGAGGUGUGGCUUGAGACAGAAUUGGAAGAAAGCCUAUGAUUUUACGAGAGGUAAGAUCAUACACGUACCAUCUGUGACAGAUAGCUAUCUAAUUAGUACAGUACGUGUACCCUGGGAUGGCCUAUCACCAUGCAGUGACACAGUACCCUGGGUGUACACACAAAUUACCAUGUCAUUUCAAUGCUUAAUAAUUAUUAAAAA